rnacentral:tRNA from 1 species
AAGAGGUGUAUGAACGACUAGAACUGCUAAUUCAAGUGACUAAGAAUAAAAUUCUCAGGCCUCUUA